AGGAGCAAACUUAACUAACUGCCCCAGCAGAACAGCAAGAGAGCAUGGGUCCCUGUCAGAAAUCACUGUUCAACUAGACCAGCCAGUUCUGACGCCCUUGUCAAGGGCCAGCCUAACUAGCCAGUUUCUCCACCUACCUCGGAGCUUCACGCUAUCAGAACCAAAGCAUCUAUACAGCAGAAACCAGCAACCCAAGUUAGAACUGGAUGCGAAAGUGCCAGGUCUCCAUGGGAUGAAUGGUUUCCUCCUUGUGAAUGCCUGGAGACCAGGAAGCUUCCAGAAGGCUGAAAACAUCCCCGCUCACACAACCACUUUGCCUCCGACCUCUGCUUCAGUUUCCAUGAUUUUUGUCUCCUCCCAGAAUCUUCUGACUCCUGCGGCUGUUUACCAUAUCCAGGCUAGACCACAGCAGCUGCAGCCAGUGAAGAGGACUGAGUAGUGACAUAAUGCCCCAGACCCUAAGUCUCAGGUGUCAUUCUAAGACUUACCAUCACUGUCACGGUCCUGCUGUGGCACCCGUCUCUCAGCUCUUUACUUCUUCCACGGUGUCUGGUGACAUCGGAAUUUUCUUUGAGGAAAAUUGAAAAGAAUCGAUUGAACUCUCAGGCCCCAAACACAGAUACUCCAUGCUGAUGGAGAAGAAGAGAAGGAGAGAAGAAGAAGAGAGAAGGAGAGGGAUGUGCCCUGGAGACUCUCACCAGGAAACCGAUCUCACCAGAGAAAGGAUUUCUGGACAUACCUGGAUGGUUUCUUCCGAUGAAGUGGAGAAAGAAAGAUGGUAGGAUUACUUGAUUUUAUUUUUAAGUAGCAUUCUUGUUGCUAAGUCAAACAUUCUUCUAGGUUUGUGGAGGACUGUGGGAUUUCUGGGACGCAGGCCUUCGCACAGCUGAAGUCAGGAGAGUUUCUGACAAACGGACACAAGUUAAUCACAGGCACCGUAAUUCACUAACACCGAAAUGUCUCAUGAGAGAGGCAAUUGAAGACUGUUGGAUGGAAUGAGAACCCUUGCUGUGGCUGAGACUUCUGUGUAGUGCUAUGUAUUUUACAGGAUGUGUCCAUUCACACAAAUCAACUCACUUAACGGUACUGAUGCUCAAAGCAAGCAAAGGCAUUAGUUACUUUCAUGUUUCUGUGACCCAAAUCCCUGAGAGUACAUAUUUAGAUCACAGUUUCAGACAUGUUACUCCACUGUGACAGAGCAAUUCACAUCAUGGUGGCCAGAGAACACUGAGCAAGACUCAGCUUCCAUGAACAUACCUCUCUGGUGGCGCCAUUCCUCCAAUAGGCCCCACCUCUCACCUUCACCAUCAUACUGGCAAUCCACCAUGAGGUGAAUCCAUUCAUGAGUGCAAAACCCUUUCUAUCUUGCCACAUCUGACUGUGUUUUCACAGAGACCCCCAAGGUGUUGUUUGUCUGUUGCCUAGGUGCUUCUCAUUUAAUAAAGUUGAUAAUUCCCCCAUAGUAGGUCCUCACAGGCUGCCAGUUACCAUCUUGUCUCUGGUGCAGGCACUGCUCUGUCUCUGCUAUUCCGUCUCCCUGCUAACCCAGGCUGAGGUCAGAGAUGUGAUAUAUUCAGCUCCCUCUGCCUUGGCGUCUCCAAGGGCAGCAUGCAGAAUGGAGAGCACCGACAACUGAAAAGUAUUUUUAAACCAGUGUUGUGUCUGGAAUCUCUGUCCAGUAAACACUUUUGGCUAGUCCAUACCACCUCUCCUACACGGAGGGUGAUUAAGCCAUGGCAUGUGUUCUUUUAUCUUUAUGUUUUAAUAUAACAUGUACACUCUUUUGGAGCAAUUGAAAUGCUUCCAGAAUAGAAAAAUUCCUCUCGUUAAUCUUAGAAAAGUUGCAAGGAUUCUGAUGGAUCCAUACCUUUAGAAUGGAGCCUCUGUAAACCGCAUCUUUUCUAAGUCAUCCAAGCAUCCUUGCUUAAAAUGUGACCAUCACUCGAAUUGAGAAACUGCUUACAUAGAAAUAAAAGCAGGGCCAUGUUGUCUCUAGUCAUCUACCAACUUUUCUAUGGUAGCAACCUAAAAUUAAUAGAAAUACUUGUUGUUUUAAUGAGUUACAACUUUUAGUAGUGGUCUUCCCCAAAUAGAAAACAUUAUAUAAAAAAUAAAACUGAGGUAAAUUUAGACAUGACAAAGAAACCAUCAGAAUUCUUCUAUUUAAGCACUUUCAUUCUUAUUUGGUUAUUGAACAAUAGAGACUUUUUAAAGAUCCCUGCUUCUAGAAGAACUAAAAUAAGCAGUAUUUAUAUCUGUGUUUGCAUAUAUCCUAUAUAUGUGUUGUCUGAUCUUUUACUAAAAGUUCAUUUAUCACUAUAGAGGAUAAGAAAAGUC